GUGGGGAAUAUUGGACAAUGGGGGAAACCCUGAUCCAGCCAUGCCGCGUGUGUGAAGAAGGCCUUCGGGUUGUAAAGCACUUUAAGCAGGGAGGAAAGGGUGUUGGCUAAUAUCCAGCAUCAUUGACGUUACCUGCAGAAUAAGCACCGGCUAACUUCGUGCCAGCAGCCGCGGUAAUACGAAGGGUGCAAGCGUUAAUCGGAAUUACUGGGCGUAAAGCGCGCGUAGGUGGUUUUGUAAGUUGGAGGUGAAAUCCCCGGGCUCAACCUGGGAACUGCCUCCAAAACUGCAUGACUAGAGUACGGUAGAGGGUAGUGGAAUUUCCUGUGUAGCGGUGAAAUGCGUAGAUAUAGGAAGGAACACCAGUGGCGAAGGCGACUACCUGGACUGAUACUGACACUGAGGUGCGAAAGCGUGGGGAGCAAACAGGAUUAGAAACCCCUGUAGUCC
rnacentral:rRNA from 1 species